rnacentral:rRNA from 1 species
UUAAUUAAAUUUAUAUUUAUUAUAUUACACGAAGCUGAAGGAGCUAGUUUUUUAAUUUAUUAGAUAUAUAGGUGUUGCAUAACUUUAACGAUUUAAAAUUAGGAGUGAUAGGCUUAACACAUUCAGUGAUAACUUGAUUACUAGUAAAGGUAUUAGUACGUAAACACUUUGGAAAUGAUAAGGUUUUCAAAUAGAAUUAAUUAUGAUGAAAAGAAUAUAUAGGGUUUAAUCACUUAUGUAAUAAUAUAAUAUAAUUAUAUUUUAUAAAUUAUUUAAAAUAUUAGUGAAUGUUGAAAUUAUUAUGGGCAAAUAUAAUGUUAAUAUUAGUAGCAAUUAAAUAUUAUUAAUGAACUCGGCAAAAGUCCUUUAACUGUUUAUCAAAAACAUAGCCGUAUGUAUAAAUAUAAGGUGAUUUCUGCUCCAUGAAGUUUAAAUAGCCGCAGUACCCUGACUGUGCAAAGGUAGCGCAAUCAAUUGGCUUUUAAUUGAAGUCCUGUAUGAAGGAAAAUAUAAAGGGGCUACUUUAUCAAUAAUAAUUUAUGAAUUUACUCAUUAAGUGCAAAUACUUAUACUUAAACAAUAGACGAGAAGACCCUAGAAAUUUUAAGAAUUAGUCUUUUUGUUGGGGCAACAAAGUAGCAAAUAUAACCUACUAUUGAUACAUGAAAGAUAUAACUUGUAAGAUUAAAUUACUCUAGGGAUAACAGCAUAAUUAAUGACAGUUUGUGACCUCGAUGUUGGAUUAGGGAAUUAAUAUUUAGAAG